ensembl:lncRNA
CAAUCGUCAGCCUCUUCACUGCAGAAGCUCUAACAGGACACCGGCAGCCUGCUCUGUUCUGCUCUCCUAUCUGCUCUGUUCUGCUCUUGUUCUGCUCUCCUAUCUGCUCUGUACUGCUCUGGCCAAUAAACAGCACUAUGCAUUGCCACAGGAAGAUGUUUGGAGGUGGGGAUGUUGCGAUUUUUACCCUGUUCGCGCUACAGACAGCUAAUACAGGACUAAUAAAGGCCCAGUGUACAACUUUUGUGAGAAUUUAUUUGAUAAAAAUUUGAAUUAAUAUAUUUUUGGAUUGCGAUUUUUCAGGGGGUGCUACAGCAACCUCAGCACCCCUAAUUCCCACAGCUAUGGUGCUAUGUCCCUGUGCUAAAACAUUCAAGCAUAUGACCUUGCACCAUCAAAGCUCUGCUCUGCCCUCCUCUCCAUAGCUUCUGACCUGCAGGGAUUACCCCCAUCAUGGCCAUCAAAUGUAAGGGAUAUCUUAAAGCUGGGGCCAAAAACUCAUUUCAUUGGUCAUUUCCCCCCUUGUCUGCAAGGUGUACUGGUUAGAGUGAGCUGCAACCUUUGGAGCUGCCCCACUGUCCACCUCUUCCCUGUCACUGUCACUCUCCCUGGAUGAUCUCUCCACUCAGUCACACACCAUCUCAGGCCAUCUCUGGUAUUCUUAGAAACAACUAAUUCAUCUAUUUCCUCUCUGAUGGCUCUGGGGGAUAAAUAAUAAAUAUACUUCACAUAAAGACACGUUGCCCUCCAACGCUCUCUCUCUCCCCUCAAUAGCCCUCUGAAAGUCCCCCAUCCACCAUCUUCCCCCCCGCUUGCUGCUCCAUCAGUACUAAAGCAUACUCUGUCCAUGUGUCAUUGACAAGGUAAAUGGGGUUAAUGCUUGGCUCUGGCGGUGGCCUGUCUGUCACAAUCACACACCUAAUGAUGGGAGUAAUCCUGAGGAUACAGUGACAGGAGUUGUGAUGUCCCACUCCCAGGCUAUGAGGGGACUAUGAGGGGGCUAUGAGGGGGAUAUGAGGGGACUAUCAGGGGGAUAUGAGGGGACUAUCAGGGGACUGGGAGGGGACUAUCAGGGGGAUAUGAGGGGACUAUCAGGGGGCUAUGAGGGGACUAUCAGGGGGCUAUGAGGGGACUAUCAAGGGGCUAUGAGUGGACUAUCAGGGGGCUGUCAGGGGACUAUCAGGCAGAUAUGAGGCGACUAUCAGGGGCUGUCAGGGGACUAUCAGGGGG